rnacentral:rRNA from 1 species
AACGAACGCUGGCGGCAGGCCUAACACAUGCAAGUCGAGCGCCCAGCAAGGGGAGCGGCGGACGGGUGAGUAACGCGUGGGAACGUGCCCUUUGCUACGGAAUAGCCCCGGGAAACUGGGAGUAAUACCGUAUAAGCCCUACGGGGGAAAGAUUUAUCGGCAAAGGAUCGGCCCGCGUUGGAUUAGGUAGUUGGUGGGGUAAUGGCCUACCAAGCCGACGCUCCAUAGCUGGUUUGAGAGGAUGAUCAGCCACACUGGGACUGGGACACGGCCCAGAAUCCUGCGGGAGGCAGGAGUGGGGAAUCUUAGACAAUGGGCGCAAGCCUGAUCGAGCCAUGCCGCGUGAGCGAUGAAGGCCUUAGGGUUGUAAAGCUCUUUCGUGGGGGAAGAUAAUGACGGUACCCCAAGAAGAAGCCCCGGCUAACUCCGUGCCAGCCGCCGCAGUAAAAC